UUGCACAUGUGUUGCUUACGGUUCUGUGGUAGGAGAGCUGUUUCCAGGAAAGAAGAGGAGAAGGAGGAAGAUGUUUGGUUUGCUGAGCAGCCCAUUCUUCCCCAUGGUGCAGAGCAGGUUGUGGUACUAUCAUGUUGAAAUGGAGCAAGACACCAGAUCAAUAAGAAACGGAUGCCAUGGAAGCACUUCUACUUUGGCUGUAUCAUUAUGACUAUUUUAUUUUAUUAUUUUCUGGAGCAUUUAAUUCUCCGCAGUAUUUCCUUCACAGGUUCCUUUCCACCAGCACUUUAAAAUUUACUAUUUUGAGCUGCACUGACGGGCACAAGAAGAAUCCUUGUCUACAAUCUUAAGCAAUUUUGGAACCAUUGUCACCAAAGUACAGGCAUUUCAUGAAGGUACUUCUACUCUUGAUGUUCAAGGCAGGUGGAAUGAAGUUGGAGCCAGGCUCUUCGGAGGUGCACAGUGGCAUACAGAGAAAUGCCAAGCAGACAGAAGGAAAAAGUGCUUCCCUCAGAGGGUGAUGAAGCAACAGAAGAGGUGCACAGAGUUGCCAUGGUAUAGCUAUCCCCAGAGACUAUCCAAGCUUCAUGGCACGAGGCCAUGAGUGAGAGCACCAGUAGAGAAAAAGACAGUACUCAUGUGGCAUGGGUGUUUCAAAGAUUGUUUUCAUCUAGAUUUGAUGCUCAUUUUAGCUACAGAAAAGUGAAACCCCAAAUCACUGCCCCCCCAAAUGGCUCUUCUAGAAGAAGGCAGCAGAAGUCUGUGUCCAUGUCAUCUGCUGGAUGGACCACGCUGUACUUGCGACACCAGCUUGCUGUGGUGGCUGUGCAAGGAGGCUCGCUCCUCCAGCCAUGCUGGGAGGAGAGCUGGCCUGGCACUGCUGGGGCCUUGGGCACAGAACCUGCUGGCUCAUCUGAAGCAGGAGGGAAGGGCUUUACACUUAGCUCAGUUACUGCCUUGCUGGGUAACAUCGGAUAAGUCCAGGCCCCUCUCUGUGUCACAGCUAAGCCAAACGUCAUUUGAUGCUCAAAGAUACGGAUCUUUCCCCCAUGCAGAGGGGAGCUGGGAUUCAGCUGAUAGUGUUUGUCUGGGUUUUUGAAAUGAAGGAUGCUACAGGAAAGCAAGACAAGAAGUCCUAAUGGAGUACAAGGAAAGGAAAUCAGAUACUGUCAUGUUUAAUCCUUCCUUGCACCUCUGUUUUUUUUGGUUGCACCUUGAUAGGCAGGGCAGAGCUGGUCAUGUUUGGCUUUUCAGGUCAGGGAAAGGGGUAUGAGUCGUAAUGCUGCGAUGCAGAUGGAGGUCAUGCCAUUUAUCAGGAUCCCUUUGUACACAGUGUCCUGCUACAGAGCCUGCUCUGGCUGCAUUAUACCACUGCACUUCCCUCCUGUUUUGGGACACCCUGCUCUGGACAUAAGUGAUUGGAAGGGAACAGGACAAGACCUUGCUUAAGCAGUGAGGAGAGAUCCAGCUGUGCAUCCCACACUCAGUGCACAGGACUUCCCAGAUGAGCUUUAUCAUGGCACAGACCCCGGCUCACUGAGUGCGGACGUACGUUGCCUUGACAGGAGAGACAGAGAGUGGAAUCAGUGGGGCCUAGAGCUGGUCACUUCUAGUGAAGCAGAAAAUAAGUGGCAUGAUUAUGCAAUUGCCUCUGGUAAUAACCCAGCCUUCACCUCCUCGUGGGUACUGAGCCAAAGAAAGAAAUGCGCAAGGUUAGCACUUUCAUAGCAUGCACACAGAGCCCUGUCAAUACGCAGCAUGGUGAUUUCUUUACUCCCUCCACCUCUGCCUGCCUCUCUCAUAUUUUGCCUGCUGUCACUCACAGAUAAGACAUUUUAAGUCUCCCACUUGUUAGGUUAUCCGCACAGUGUGACAGCCUGAGGUCCAGGAGCCCUGCUGAAACCACGUUCUUAAAGGAGGUCCUAGUUUGCCCAGCAGGAGCACUGGUGUGGCAGGGGAGUGGAGGACUCCAGGGCAGGAUCAAAAGGCGUCAGGAGAUCAGUGUGCUGCACUUGCAAGAGGAUCAGAAACAUGAAAACCAAGAAGUUUCCCUGUAUUCAACUUAAUGCUUUGCAUUUAGGUUUUUCUUGACCCUCAAUAGGCGACCCUUCAGGUAGUUGAGCUUGCCAUUCUCUUGCCGUUGAGCUACUGGACUAGCUGACACAACUUUGUUUCUCCACUUGAAACAUUUUUGGGGACAUUUUUCAUUGUUACUAUGAAUAACAAAUUAAAAAGUACAUGAGUGAUGUUGCUCAAGAAGCCUUUAGCCGAUGUUAUGAAUUUCUCAGCCAGUGGUGCCAUAGAUGUGACCAUGUUU